CACUCUCUCUCUCUCUCUCUCUAGAACAGAACACGAAGAACAAUUUUUCCAUCUCCAUCUCCGUUUACAGUACAACGACACCACCUCGCCUGAAGAGUAGUAGUUCAAGGGAUACGUACGCCAGCAAGAGAGAGAGAGAGAGAGAGUUCUCAAAGGAAAGGCCUCAAGCCUGGCGAACUUGCUAUCAUCUCCAGGGAACCAGUGGCUCCUUACGAGAGUCCUGCACAUAGCAAGGGAUAUAUAAACCUCGAGGACAAAGUUUCACUUCCUGUCUGUGCUGGAAAUGGGGGAGAGAAACAGUUGCCUCCUUAAUGGUACAAAGAGAAUGAUCUUGCUACAAAACUCUCGUCAGUGGCCACUGGACAAGUCUUCAAGUACCAAACUUUGAUAGCCUGAACAGAACACACACACGUAUCGCUUAUCGUCCCAACAUUGAUCGGUGCCCAAUGAACAACAACGGUCAUCAUUCAUCAACGUGGGAUGUCAAUCUUCACAAAAGCGGCCUUCUUGCUUGGUAUGAUCUCUUAUCUUCUCCUUUUUUUUUUAUAAUUUUUCCAAAUUAUGUAUAAUAUGAUGAUUAC